AUUGAACGCUGGCGGCAGGCCUAACACAUGCAAGUCGAACGGUAACAGGAAGCAGCUUGCUGCUUCGCUGACGAGUGGCGGACGGGUGAGUAAUGUCUGGGAAGCUGCCUGAUGGAGGGGGAUAACUACUGGAAACGGUAGCUAAUACCGCAUAAUGUCGCAAGACCAAAGAGGGGGACCUUCGGGCCUCUUGCCAUCGGAUGUGCCCAGAUGGGAUUAGCUUGUUGGUGGGGGAACGGCGCACCAAGGCGACGAUCCCUAGCUGGUCUGAGAGGAUGACCAGCCACACUGGAACUGAGACACGGUCCAGACUCCUACGGGAGGCAGCAGUGGGGAAUAUUGCACAAUGGGCGCAAGCCUGAUGCAGCCAUGCCGCGUGUAUGAAGAAGGCCUUCGGGUUGUAAAGUACUUUCAGCGGGGAGGAAGGGAGUAAAGUUAAUACCUUUGCUCAUUGACGUUACCCGCAGAAGAAGCACCGGCUAACUCCGUG
rnacentral:rRNA from 1 species